AAGAAGAAGAAGAAGAAGAAGAAGAAGAAGAAGAAGAAGAAGAAGAAGAAGAAGAAGAAGAAGAAGAACCAUGUGAUCACCUAGUUGGUCUGUUUGUCCGCGUUAUUACAUUUGAAGACGAUUAUACAUCAUCAUUAUCAUGGAAGGGAACGACCGAAGACACCAUACCAUUCUUACUGAGGGAGAAGAACCUGUGCCCCUACAGUCUGCCGAUUCACCUUUUUAUCAGUGCCCAUUCUGCUCUUAUAAGACUGCAGAAAGGCAUUUGGUGAUUAACCACAUACAAAAUCAUGCAACGGUGAAACAUAAAGGUAAAAGCCAAUGUUAGGGCAUAACUUGAA